AGCAGUAGCCGCGGGAAAACGGAGGGUGCAAGCGUUACUCGGAAUCACUGGGCGUAAAGGACGCGUAGGCGGAUUAUCAAGUCUCUUGUGAAAUCUAACGGCUUAACCGUUAAACUGCUUGGGAAACUGAUAAUCUAGAGUAAGGGAGAGGCAGAUGGAAUUCUUGGUGUAGGGGUAAAAUCCGUAGAUAUCAAGAAGAAUACCUAUUGCGAAGGCGAUCUGCUGGAACUUAACUGACGCUAAUGCGUGAAAGCGUGGGGAGCAAACAGGAUUAGAUACCCGCGUAGUCCCUGUCUCUUAUAC
rnacentral:rRNA from 1 species